CCUACGGGCGGCAGCAAUUAGGAAUCUUGCGCAAUGGGCGAAAGCCUGACGCAGCGACGCCGCGUGACUGAUGAAGUCUUUCGGGAUGUAAAGGUCUUUUGCAGGGGACGAAGGAAGUGACGGUACCCUGCGAAUAAGCUCCGGCUAACUACGUGCCAGCAGACGCGGUAAUACGUAGGGAGCGAGCGUUGUCCGCAUUUACUGGGCGUAAAGCGCGCGUAGGCGGGCUAUUAAGUUGGGGGUGAAAGGCCGAGGCUUAACCUCGGAACUGCCUCCAAAACUGGGAGCCUUGAGGUAUGGAGAGGGAAGUGGAAUUCCAGGUGUAGCGGUGAAAUGCGUAGAUAUCUGGAGGAACACCCGUGGCGAAGGCGGCUUCCUGGCCAUAUCCUGACGCUGAGGUGCGAAAGCUAGGGGAGCGAACG
rnacentral:rRNA from 1 species